GCGGUAACAUGAGUGAUGAGGAGUGGCUGCAAAUACAGAUGAAGCUUCGUUUGCUCACUUCCUGUUGUGUGGCCCAGACAGGGCACUGUCUGUGGCCCCAGGGGUUGAGGACCCCUGGCUUUAACAACAGAAAGGUACCAUCUUACAGUUCUGGAGGCCAAAGUCUGAUAUCCAGACCCCAGUUACUGGAUUGGGAUCCACCCUCACUCAAUAUGGCCUCAGCUUAAUGAAAGACAUCUGCAGAGACCCUAUUUCUACUAAAAGCCACAUUCUGAGACUUCUCGUGGGCGUGAGUUUUUGAGAGACACUGUUCUGCUCCAUGCAGGGAGGGAAUUGGGAUCUGAAGACGUUGCAUUCGAGGUCUCGGGGCUCCUGAUGAGCAGCCUCGGCCUGACCUGGGGCAGGUGUGAUGUCUGCGGCUCACCAUCUCCACCCUGCCUGCUGUGGAAUCUCCACAACGACAGGUGCUUUGGAGGCCAGAGUGCAUGCGUACGGGCCCUGCACACGCUGAAUGUCACUGGGAACAAGGACACACCCCGCUUCCAGGAGAAGAUAGAACAUGUCGACCCCUUUUGCUCUCGUUCUGUUGCCCAGGCUGGAGUUCAGUGGCAUGAUCUUGGCUCACUGCAGCCUCGAACUCACAGGCUUAGGUGAUCCUCCCACCUCAGCCUCCUCAGUAGCUGGGACUACAGAGCCAUCCCCAGUGCAGGACAUGCUAUUGACUUCCAUGAGACAAACACCUACUUGGAAAUCAGGUUUUUUCUGUACCUUUUGAAGGAGCAGGAAUUUCCCAGCAUUUCCUGGACAAAGACGGAGGCUCCUGGGGCCUACAGAAAGGAGCUGGAGGUGCCUAGUGCAGGCUGGGAGGCCUCCUUUAUUGAGGUGACAUCCCUGGAUGCUGGCUUGGCGGAGGUUGGGGAGAACGCUGCCUCCCUGGAAUAGAAGAUGCCUUGGAAGCCCUGGGUGCAGGCUGGCCGACCCUGCCUGAGCUGCCUGUCUUCAUUCCAUGGCUCUGCUUGUUAGAGGAGGAAGUUAGGCAGACAUGAGUGGCGCCCACCAGCCCAGGAAUGUCAGGUGACCAUCAGGUGAUGGUCAGGCAGUUGUUAAACUGUCUCUCUGAAAUGAUCAUUGGUUGCAGCUCACACCAGGGGAAGAUGGUCUCCCAAUAAAUAAAAAAACACCUGAAACUGGUGAUCAGCAGCUUCCCGAUAAGCUCUCGAGUUGGGCGAGUGGGCUCAAGCGUGCGCACUAAGAGGCAAAAUGGCGGAUGUAUGAACUUCCUCUGGGGGCAUUCAACCAGUAAAGGAAAACCGCCCCUAGAGAGCAUGCGCACAACCUCAGUCAACUCACUACACAUGCAAUUACCCUCCUGAGUGCUGACCAACACUGCUGCAUGGGGCUGUUGAGCAACAGCCCGCCCCAAGGGAAGAACCGAGGGAGGAGAAGAGAAAACUCCAGAGCCGUGCCAACGGAUAAACCCCACGCCCAGGGCUGAGCGGUCACUUGGAUCUCUCACGUGGCGCACUCAGCCCUCUUCCAAGUAUACUUUAACUUCCUUUCACUCCUGCUCUAAAACUUUUUCAUAAACCCUCACUCCUGUUCUAAAACGUGCCUCAAUCUCUCCCUCUACCUUAAACCUACUUCUGCUCCAGAUUCUUUCCACUGAGGAGGCAAGGAUGGAGUUGCUGCUGACCCGUGCAGAUUUGCUGCUGGUAACAUACUCAUGGGCAAAGUCUGAAAAACCUCUUCCUGCCCUGGGCAAGGCAGAUGGGGCAGCCCAGCAGGCUGGCUUUGCCCACCGUCUCCGAUAUCAUCCAACACAGUCAGCCAGGCCACAUUCGCUGCAUCCUUUCCAGCAAGAUGUCAUUCUGAGAUUUUUGUCAUUCCUGGGCGUUAUGAGGACUGCCAAGGGACACAAUUCCAUGGGAGGAAAGUUUUCUUCUAAGCUGCAAGCCAGCUCUGGCUUCUGGAGUUUCUCCUUAGGAUUGCAAGACAGUAGUUCCCUGUCCUUUAGGUCUUCUCCAGAAAUACCUUAAAAUAGCAAAUAAAAUAAGAUAUAAGCAAACAAAACCUGAAGUUAAC
rnacentral:lncRNA from 1 species